CAGCAGCAACAGCAACAGCAACAGCGGCGGCAGUAAGAAUGGGUCGUCGUCCCUGAUUGCGGGGCUGUUCUCUAACUCCGGUUACCAGUACGUUCCACGUGCAAUGAUCGUAAUAGCCGUUGUCGUCGAAUUUCUAUCGCAAAAAGCCUAAGGGGCUCCGACGGUCGGUGGGAUGCCUUAUGUAUGUCGCGCUGUUCAAGCUUUAAAGGGGCGAUCCGAGAUUUCAGGGAGGGGGUGGCGACUUGAAUUUCUCGCACUCCGACAAUGCUCUAAUCAAAUGUCAUGAAUCAGCGCCACGGCCACCGCACGACUCUACGUUAUUCCGGGCCAUGCUGCGGUUUACACUCGCAUCUGCGACGUACGAAUUCGUAAAUAUACCCUGCGGCCACCACCCUUACCCUUCUUCUCGCGCUUCGUUUUUUUUUUUCUUUUUUUCUCCAUACCAGGUUACACUCGACUAAAUGCGUGCAAAGUCGCACGCCCGCAAAAAAAAAUUUCAUCCUCAUUAUCCGCUCUUAUACCUUUUUGUGAACAUUUUUAUUUUCUUCAAUUUUUUGUCUUUCAAUUUUUACUCGACGUUUUUUUGCGCUAGCCGAUCUUAUCUUCGAGCGAUGUAGGUUUCGCCACGAAAACACUUACGAUUAGAUUCGCGUCUGUUCUGCAUUUUUUUUCCAAAAAUUACCGUAUCCUCGUGUGUUUCGGUAAAUAUCCACGGAACGAGAUCAGCAGCCAGCUGUUUCGAGAAACUCGAAGAAAAAUUUCGGUCGGGUUUUGUCUAAGAGAAAGAAGUUUCGAUCCCGCCCUUUUCGAAAUUAGGAAUAAUGUCACAAUGGAUUUACCGCCCGAAGAUUUUUGGUAGGCGAAUCAGAUGCAAAUGAAUUUCGGACGCAGGUACUUGACAAUUUUAUGCCCAGAAAAAUGGAACUAGGACAAACAAAAUGAAGAGAAAAGAGAGAGAGAAAAAAAAAAAGAAGAAAUCUGAAAAAAAAAAGUAAAAGAGAGAGGAGAAAAUGAAUCCGUCAGGGGUAUAAGUUCGAGGUAUAUAGUAUAAGCGAUCACCGACCGAGUGCAGGUUCGACUCUUUUGCUGUUAAGCAUUUUUAAAUUAGGUUUUUACGUUCCUCGGCGUAUAGAAGCUAUAUAUAUGUUUUAUAUACCGAGAGAGUGGAGGGUAUAGGGGACGUGAGGGAAGUAAGGGAGAAGCGGCGAAGCAGUAAAAGAAAGAAAGAGGAGGAAAAAGCUCGGGGGUGGGGGGAACGGGGAUGGAAUACAGGCACGGGGCUCGGCGAUCGUCAUGGCUAGUCCGUGUAAUCGAACUAAAUUGGAUAAUGCAUAUUUAGAAUGAGUAAAAAAAAAAAAUAAAACGAACUUGAGAAAAUAAAAUAACAAGAGGAAGAAAAAUAAAAAAAAACGAACGAAAAGAGGUACGACUAAACGCCGACCCGUCUAGCAGCUCCGAAGAGCGGUGCGAGCUUUGACGAACUGUAACUCACAAUCGGACCUCGAUUCCCUUUUCAGGGCGCGCGCGACUCCGAUACCUGUUACGUGUACCGAUGUCUGACUAACCUUCGUGUAUUUCUCCGAGCACUCUAUUUCAUUUUGCGCCCGAUCGGCGUAACUUGCGUUAAUUAUUUUCUAACGAAGAUCGGUAUAAUUGGUGGAAAAUCGUUCGAUCGGUUGGAAAAUCGGAAACGUCGAGAAUGAAAAAAACUUUUUCGCCCUUUCUUGCGGUGCAAUCGUGGAGUACCGAUUGCGAGUCGAUAGAGUAAAGAAUAAAAUAAAAUGAAACACUACGAAGAGAAUGAUGGAAAAAAAAAAAAAAAAAAAAAAGGGAAAAACUUGCAGAAUAAAGGAAAGACUCGACAUGACGCACGAUAUCAUAGCUGCCGCAGGUUUCUCCUAGAAACAUAAAUAACUUUCGAAUACCCGUAACUGCGUUAAAAAUCCACGGACCGUAACUUAAUUUAAUGUGCUUCCGAGGGGAGAAAAAUAAAAUAAAAAUGAAUAAAAACGAAAAAAA